GUGUCUGUAGCCUAGUGGUAAAAGGCAGCACUCUAGUAUACUGAGGUUGUGGGUUUGAAUCCCACCAGACACA
rnacentral:tRNA from 1 species